rnacentral:rRNA from 1 species
AGUGAACGCUGGCGGUAGGCCUAACACAUGCAAGUCGAGGGGCAGCAUUGGAGUAGCAAUACUUCAGAUGGCGACCGGCGCACGGGUGAGUAACACGUAUCCAACCUGCCGCUUACUCGGGGAUAGCCUUUCGAAAGAAAGAUUAAUACCCGAUGGUAUAAAGAGUUCGCAUGUUCUCUUUAUUAAAGAAUUUUGGUAAGCGAUGGGGAUGCGUUCCAUUAGAUAGUUGGCGGAGUAACGGCCCACCAAGUCUACGAUGGAUAGGGGUUCUGAGAGGAAGGUCCCCCACAUUGGAACUGAGACACGGUCCAAACUCCUACUGGAGGCAGCAGUGAGGAAUAUUGGUCAAUGGACGAGAGUCUGAACCAGCCAAGUAGCGUGAAGGAUGACUGCCCUAUGGGUUGUAAACUUCUUUUAUAAGGGAAUAAAGUGAGGGACGUGUCCCUUUUUGUAUGUACCUUAUGAAUAAGGAUCGGCUAACUCCGUGCCAGCCGCCGCCGUAACAC